rnacentral:rRNA from 1 species
CCUACGGGCGGCAGCAGUCGAGAAUCAUUCACAAUGGGGGAAACCCUGAUGGUGCGACGCCGCGUGGGGGAAUGAAGGUCUUCGGAUUGUAAACCCCUGUCAUGUGGGAGCAAAUUAAAAAGAUAGUACCACAAGAGGAAGAGACGGCUAACUCUGUGCCAGCAGCCGCGGUAAUAAAGAGGUCUCAAGGGUUGUUCGGAAUCACUGGGCGUAAAGGGUGCGUAGGCUGUUUCGUAAGUCGUGUGUGAAAGGCGCGGGCUCAACCCGCGGACGGCACAUGAUACUGCGAGACUAGAGUAAUGGAGGGGGAACCGGAAUUCUCGGUGUAGCAGUGAAAUGCGUAGAUAUCGAGAGGAACACUCGUGGCGAAGGCGGGUUCCUGGACAUUAACUGACGCUGAGGCACGAAGGCCAGGGGAGCGAAAGGGAUUAGAUACCCGAGUAGUC